AACGAACGCUGGCGGCAGGCUUAACACAUGCAAGUCGAACGCCCCGCAAGGGGAGUGGCAGACGGGUGAGUAACGCGUGGGAACAUACCCUUUCCUGCGGAAUAGCUCUGGGAAACUGGAAUUAAUACCGCAUACGCCCUACGGGGGAAAGAUUAUCGGGGAAGGAUUGGCCCGCGUUGGAUUAGCUAGUUGGUGGGGUAAAGGCCUACCAAGGCGACGAUCCGUAGCUGGUCUGAGAGGAUGAUCAGCCACAUUGGGACUGAGACACGGCCCAAACUCCUACGGGAGGCAGCAGUGGGGAAUAUUGACAAUGGGCGCAAGCCUGAUCCAGCCAUGCCGCGUGAGUGAUGAAGGCCUUAGGGUUGUAAAGCUCUUUCACCGAUGAAGAUAAUGACGGUAGUCGGAGAAGAAGCCCCGGCUAACUUCGUGCCAGCCGCCGCCGUAAUAC
rnacentral:rRNA from 1 species